GUCCAUCAAGUUAAGCCUACCUCACAUUUGUUUUUUGCUGUUGAUCCAAAAGAAGGCAAAAAACCCAGUUUGAAGCACAAUUUUGCAACAAGCUAGGAAAAAAAAUCCUUCUUGACCCCAGAAUGGCAGUCAGAUUUAUCCUUGGAUCAAGCAGUUAUUACCCUACAUUGAAAGAUUAUAUCCUUGAAUAUUCUGUUCUUGCAAGUAUGCAUCUAGCAGCCGUUUGAACAUCUGUAUGGACU